rnacentral:lncRNA from 1 species
GGAGUUCCCUUUGUGGCUCAGCGGUUAACGAACCUGACUAGGAUCCAUGAGGUAUCAGGUUUGAUCCCUGGCCUUGCUCAGUGGGAGCAGCCCUAGAAAAGAAGAAAAGCCAAAAAAAAAGAAAGAAAAGAAAAGAAAGAAAGAGACUUAACAGUAGUACCCAAAGAAUGCAUUAGUACCAUUACCUGAUGGAACCAAUCAUUGCCCAUGAAACAAUUCUGCAGCAACUGAUGUCUUUGCUGGUCCAGCAGGCAGUGACCACAGCUGGGGGUCUGGCCGAAGCUCCAGCCCCAGAGCAGAUGCUUCUUUAGCUGGGCUGCCUGGACCCGUGGUCCAGCCCAUCAGGAAGACGGUGGGCAGCCUGCAGUUUUCCUGCACGUUUCUCCCCAUCUGGGAUCUCCCACUCUCUUCAGCAGCCACCACCCACCCCCCAAUUUCAUGGCCUCGUUUUCCUGGUGAAGACCUGGUUUUCCGCAGGGCGCUCUGCCCUCCCCGGUUCCCCCAACCCCCCGGGGGCACUGCCUGCUCAUAGAGGCCUCAGGCUGGAAGCCACGGAAUGCUCUUCAUACAAUAACCACCCCCCCAUUUGCUGCUGCUGCUGCUCAGUGCCAGAGGCCUUCAGGCAGCUCCUUUUUGCAUUUUGUGCAGAUUUUCUUGUUGUUUUCUGUGUGGGGGCGAUCUUACAAAAUCAUCGCAGGAAGCAGAACCAGCAAUUACCCAUCCACUUUUAGAACUGCCUGGGACACAAACCUCACAUCCUUUGAGUCACAUUCGGAAAAAGUGUACAUUUCAUUUGUUUCAAAGGUCACGACGGCUUCACAGCAAGGGACUUGAGAAAAAGCAUUCCCUCCUAACAGAGGGCACAGCUGCGGUGUAGGGACAGGGCCCUGGGGAGCCCUGGGGUUUUGCAGAGGUGGGGCUGGGCUGGAUGGUACCAGAGACAGAGGUCUCUCUCUGCUCCCGUUCCCUCAUAGCAACUUGCUCUGGCCACCAGCCAUCUCCUGCAUUCCUUCCUUCAAAGCCUCAGGACAAAAGAAGGCAAACCUCAGAGUUCCCAUUGGGACUCAGUGGUUAACGAACCUGACGAGCAUCCAUGAGGACGUGGGUUCAAUCCCUGGCCUCGCUCAGUGGGUUAAGGAUCCAGCGUGGCAUUCCCGUCGUGGCUCAGUGGUUAACGAGCUUUACUAGCGUCCAUGAGGACACAGGUUUGAUCCCUGGCCUCACUUAGUGGGUUAAGGACCUGGCGUUGCCGUGAACUGUGGUGUAGGUCACAGAUGCGGUUCAGAUCCCAGCUGCUGUGGCUGUAGUGUAGACAGGCAGCUACAACUCUGAUUCGACCCCUAGCCUGGGAACCUCCAUAGGCUGUGAGUGCAGCCCUAAAAAGAACCCCCCCAAGAAAAGUUCACGUGUGUGUUGGCUGCUCACACCUGGGUGCGUUUGUUUACACGGGCGCACGUGCACACACCACAUGCACACACGUGCCAGAUCCCAGGGGCCCACAGAGCACGGUCACUGGCCAUAAAGGACCACAGGGUCAGGGCACUGACCUCCAAGGGAUGAAGAAGCUGUGCUCUGGGGUUGGGGACCAGCCACGAGACUUGUGGCUAAAGGUGCUGGUGUCCACAGUUUGGUGUCACAGCACGGCUGGGAGGGGCCUCUGUCUCUGCACCUGGAGAAGUGUGGAGUUGGCAGGACUCAGUCUGGUUAGAGAGGAGCAGCCAAGUUUGGUCCUCAAUUUUGCCCAGAAUUCCCCAGAGCCAAGGAAGGUCCCCCAAGCAGUCUGGUCCCUUCCCUCCGGGUCAGCACAGGCGUGAGGGCAGGUCCAGGGCACUAGGUGAGGGCCCAGGACCAAGGAGGGUUGCGAAUUCAGAACACCUCCACC